rnacentral:rRNA from 1 species
UACGAAGGGGGCUAGCGUUGCUCGGAAUCACUGGGCGUAAAGCGCACGUAGGCGGACUCUUAAGUCGGUGGUGAAAUCCUGGAGCUCAACUCCGGGUCUGCCGCGGAUACUGCGAGGCUUGAGUGCUGUAGAGGGGGGUAGAAUGCCGGGUGUAGCGGUGGAAUGCGUAGAGAUCCGGCAGAAGACCGGUGGCGAAGGCGGCCCCCUGGGCAGUAACUGGCACUGAGGCGCGACAGCGUGGGGAGCAAACAGG